GGCCGUAAUUCAUUUUGGUCUCGUCGGUGAGGGCGUGGACAUUGGUGUCAAUAGGGGCCUGGGGCGCUUGGGGGUACCCUUGUUCCCGGACACUCAAGAACUUGGCGCUACAAGAUACAAUCUCAAGUUUUUCUCGAUCUUCCAGAGGAAGAUUAGGGUGUUCCAUUUCAAUAAGUUUUUUUUUUUUUUCAAAGAACUUUUUGGCUAUGUCAAUCGCUGUUUUUAGUUCUCUUAUUUUGAGAUCUCUUUGUCGAUCACUGUAAAUGAUAAC
rnacentral:lncRNA from 1 species